GAAGAAUUUAGGGCUGAAGUAUCAAGAUGCCUACAAUUAAUUUUCACAUGGUUCAGCCAAGAAUUAUAUGUUUGUGUAUUACAUGUAAAUAUACUAUACCACACAAUCAUAGAUAAUCAAACAAUGUCCUUUUUUCUCAUUAUAUUUUCUAGUGGGCUAUUGACUGUAUAAGGAAUUGAUUUUGAAUGUUUAUCUUGUGCUAAACCACUAUGGGUAGACAUCCUAUCUUCAACAAAUGACCCUUUGUCUCCUUUUUUCUCCUCCUAGUUAUUUUCCUUGUUUUGCUGUAUUUGCUUGCUGGCACCUAUCUAAAGCAGCAGUUCUCACCAUGUGACCCGUGAACCCUGAG
rnacentral:lncRNA from 1 species